rnacentral:rRNA from 1 species
CCCCCUUAAGAUGAGAUUUCCCAUAGCGUAAGCUAGUAAGACCCCUUGAAGACGACAAGGUUGAUAGGUCAGAGGUGGAAGCAUGGUAACAUGUGGAGCUGACUGAUACUAAUAGGUCGAGGGCUUGACCUU